ACUAUCCUACUUCAAGUAGGAAUCCUCCUCUUUAGGUCUUCAAUUUCGUCCAUUUCUUUAGUUCCAAGCAUGUGAUAUUUAUUCCAAGCCCAAAAUUGCUCCAAAAGGCUCCAAAAUGUACAUUUUUGCAUACUUUGUCCUUAGAACCUGAAAUUGCACAAAAAUGACUUUAAACACUAAAACAACUAAGGAAUAACAACAUAAAUGCAUGAGAACAAGCUAACUCAGUCGCAUAAAUAUGUUAUUAUCAUAAUCAGACAAGUACAUUUCAUUUUAGCAUGUCUUAAUUUAUGUUUAUGUUUAUGUUUAAG
rnacentral:lncRNA from 1 species